GCAAACUUGGUCAUUUAGAGGAAGUAAAAGUCGUAACAAGGUUUCCGUAGGUGAACCUGCGGAAGGAUCAUUAACAAAUCCCAUGUUUUAUUACUAUUAUAUGUAUUAUUAUGAUACAUGUGAUAAUAAUAUACACAAGUUCCAUGUUGUGUACAUGCAUACAUGUUUACAAUAUGACAUUUCUAUUAAUUAUCUGAUUUAUUUAUUUCAAAUUCUAAAACAAUAACUUUUAACAAUGGAUCUCUAGGCUCUUGCAUCGAUGAAGAACGCAGC
rnacentral:misc_RNA from 1 species